GUUCAAACAAGGAAGGGCUUACGGUGGAUACCUAGGCACCCAGAGACGAGGAAGGGUGUGGUAAGCGACGAAAUGCUUCGGGGAGUUGAAAAUGAGCAUAGAUCUGGAGAUUCCCGAAUAGGUUAACCUUUUUAACUGCUUCUGAAUCCAUGGGCAGGAAAGAGACAACCUGGCGAACUGAAACAUCUUAGUAGCCAGAGGAAUAGAAAGCAAAAUCGAUUCCCGUAGUAGCGGCGAGCGAAAUGGGAGCAGCCUAAACCGUGAAAACGGGGUUGUGGGAGAGCACAAUAUAAGCUCUGUGCUGCUAGGCGAAGCGGUUGAGUCCUGUUAUCGCAUGGUUUGUAGGAAAUGUUAGAGUAGCUUGAGUCAAGGCUUGAAACCGGCGUAAUAGGAGCUUUCCCCACCCACUGUCACCUUGAUGGGGAUCUCUUUCUAUUUAGGAGGGCUAGUCCAAGGGAGACGUCCCUAAGUAAUCUAGUUUCUGGAAGGGCUAAAGGUUAAGUGGACCAAGGUAAGUGAUUCCCUCUCACAGACUACUUCCUGAAAAGAGAUAGUCAAAGGAGAUCUUCCACUGAUGAGGCACCUGUUUGCGAGACAAGACAAAUAAACUAGAAUAUGUGCU
rnacentral:ncRNA from 1 species